GUGCACCAGGCGCGAAUUUUCUCAAUGGGCGAAAGCCUGAAGGAGCGACGCCGCGUGGGGGAUGAAUGGCUUCGGCCCGUAAACCCCUGUCAUUUGUGAACAAAUUGCUUCACCUAAUACGUGAGGCAUUGAUUGUAACGGAAGAGGAAGGGACGGCUAACUCUGUGCCAGCAGCCGCGGUAAUACAGAGGUCCCAAGCGUUGUUCGGAUUCACUGGGCGUAAAGGGUGCGUAGGCGGUUUGACAAGUCUGAUGUGAAAUCCCGCAGCUUAACUGCGGAACUGCAUUGGAAACUGUUUGACUAGAGGGAUGGAGGGGAGACUGGAAUACUUGGUGUAGCAGUGAAAUGCGUAGAUAUCAAGUGGAACACCAGUGGCGAAGGCGAGUCUCUGGACAUUUCCUGACGCUGAGGCACGAAAGCCAGGGGAGCAAACGGGAUUAGAUACCCCCGUAGU
rnacentral:rRNA from 1 species